GGGCCCGCACAAGCAGUGGAGUAUGUGGUUUAAUUCGAAGCAACGCGAAGAACCUUACCAGGUCUUGACAUCCGAUUAAUUUUGCAGAGAUGCAGAAGUGCCUUUCGGGGAAAAUCGAGACAGGUGGUGCAUGGUUGUCGUCAGCUCGUGUCGUGAGAUGUUGGGUUAAGUCCCGCAACGAGCGCAACCCUUGUUAAUAGUUGCUACGCGAGAGCACUCUAUUAAGACUGCCGUUGACAAAACGGAGGAAGGUGGGGAUGACGUCAAAUCAUCAUGCCCCUUAUGACCUGGGCUACACACGUACUACAAUGGCCGUUAACAGAGGGAAGCAAUACCGCGAGGAGGAGCAAACCCCUAAAAACGGUCUCAGUUCAGAUUGCAGGCUGAAACCCGCCUGCAUGAAGAUGGAAUUGCUAGUAAUCGCGGAUCAGCAUGCCGCGGUGAAUACGUUCCCGGGCCUU
rnacentral:rRNA from 1 species